GACGAACGCUGGCGGCGUGCUUAACACAUGCAAGUCGAACGGAAAGGCCCUGCUUUUUUGGGGUGCUCGAGUGGCGAACGGAUGAGUAACACGUGAGUAACCUGCCCUUGACUUUGGGAUAACUUCAUGAAACUGGCGCUAAUACCGGAUAGGAACUCCUGCUUCAUGGUUGGGGUUGGAAAGUUUCCGCGGUUGGGGAUGGACUCGCGGCUGAUCAGCUUGUUGGUGGGGUAGUGGCGUACCAAGGCUUUGACGGGUAGCCGGCCUGAGAGGGUGACCGGCCACAUUGGGACUGAGAUACGGACCAGACUCCUACGGGAGGCAGCAGUGGGGAAUAUUGCACAAUGGGCGGAAGCCUGAUGCAGCAACGCCGCGUGCGGGAUGACGGCCUUCGGGUUGUAAACCGCUUUCGACUGUGACGAAGCGUGAGUGACGGUAAUGGGUAAAGAAGCAACGGCUAACUACGUG
rnacentral:rRNA from 1 species